AAUUUGGGACAAUGGGGGAAACGCUGAUCCAGCCAUCCCGCGUGUAUGAUGAAGGCCUUCGGGUUGUAACUUACUUUUGGCAGAGAAGAAAAGGUAUCUCCUAAUACGAGAUACUGCUGACGGUAUCUGCAGAAUAAGCACUGGCUAACUACGUUCCAGCAGCCGCGGUAAAACGUAGGGUGCAAUCGUUAAUCGGAAUUACUGGGCGUAAAGCGUGUUUAGGCGGUUCGGAAAGAAAGAAGUGAAAUCCCAGGGCUCAACCUUGGAACUGCAUUUUUAACCGCCGAGCUAGAGUAUGUCAGAGGGGGGUAGAAUUCCACGUGUAGCAGUGAAAUGCGUAGAUAUGUGGAGGAAUACCGAUGGCGAAGGCAGCCCCCUGGGAUAAUACUGACGCUCAGACACGAAAGCGUGGGGAGCAAACA
rnacentral:rRNA from 1 species